CUUUGUUGCCUGUCUUUAUGGAUUCAUUAAUUAUUAUACUUAGCAUGUGAAAGAGAAUCCUAAUAAGUCAGAUUAACCGCGGUAGGGGAUGAGGUUUCUUUUAGUCAAAGAGAUGAACGACAUUCAGGUGCGUUUGUUACUUGGAAAUUAGUAAGGCCUAUAGUGUUUUUUUUUUUCAUUAAAGAUAGGUUUGUUCUAUGGUUUUCACGGGGUUACAAGUGGUGCACUCUAUUUUUUCUCUCUCUUGAAUAAGAAACAACGUCUAAUAUGCGGGUACUGAGAAUCAGUAUUUUACAAGUUUAUCCUCAAAUCGUGGACACCUGUUUUCUUUCACAAAAAAGUUUCAAGUGCUUCGACUCAUAGCGUUGGUCGUUGUGAAUUUACCAAAUCUCUCACUCACGAAUUAACAUAAAAGAAGUACAGCCUCCAGCCAGCAGCGAGCACAGGAACACCUCCGCGAUAAGUCUUGCCUGUGAGGUGCCGCCAGCCGCCGUCAGCCUGCCUCCUCAUUUGGAAGGAAUGAUUCGAGCGCACUGAAGCUGUGUUUGUUUGGUGCUUCACAAGCGGGAUCCUCGCCGCCUUCCGCCAUUGUGUGGGUGUGCUGAGCGGCGGGCGGGUGUUUACAGUGUGUUUCCUCGGUAAUCUGGCCAAGUUCAUCGACCAAUUCCGGACUAAGUGGCUGUGUUUACAGUAGUGGGUGAUGGGCUCCCGGCGCGCGGCGAGACAACAUCAGAAGACUGGAGGGGAAACUUAAGAGGAAAAAGUAGAAUAUCCCCAGGCAGAGGAAGAGGAUGAUGGGAGGAGGAGCAUAAUGAGCACUGCGGCCACUCACCUGACAGUACAUCUGAGUAGAGAUGAAGCCUCACAGCGCAGAGCAACAGUUCAGAAAACUCGUCACUGUGGGUCUGCUCUCAACAUUUCCAUAACUUCGGGUUGGCUUUUUGUCUGAAAUUCCCGCCCCUCUGCGUUCCCGCCCCCUGUCACUGGCAGAAAUAUUGGCAGUGACCGCGGCAGCAGCACCACAACGGGAAAUUUAUGGAACUCCACGGAGCCCGCGACACUCCUUUCACUGUCUGGCUGCGAGUCUUGGGGGACUCCACUAUUCCUCCGCUGUAGCAGGGGAGGGGGAGCUCUUAGAGUUUUCACGUUUCUUUCUUUCUUUUGUGGCACUUUAUUUUUAUUUAUUUUUUUUUUUUUUGUCUGUGUGUGGAUGGAGGAGAUGGAGGAAAAAGGAAGAGGAGGAGAAGGAGGAGAAAUACACACACACACACACACACACACACACACACACACACACACACACACACACACACACACACAAAAAAAGAGAGAGAGAGAGAGAGAGAGAGAGAGAGAGAGAGAGAGAGAGAGAGAGAGAGAGAGAGAGAGAGAGAGAGAGAGAGAGAGAAUUGUUUUUCCCUCGUGCAAAUAUGGAAAAUAAAAAGGAAACGUUGCGUAGGUGAGGGGCUGCCGGAUGUGUUAGUGAGGAAGGCGCAGGGCAGGUGUGGCGUGGCGGGGUGGCGGCAGGCGAGGUAACGGGGCGGCGGCGGAAAUGAUGUGACGAAGUUAGCGAAGGACUCUGAGGAUGGCCCACGCGUGCAGCUCAUUAAGGGGGCAUCUGGUGCUGGCAAAUCCUUCCCUGAUAUCUGAUAGGAAUUUUUUUUUUUUUUAAGUUUCAUCUUGACGUAAUAAUCGUAAGUAGACGAAUGUGCUUGCCAUUCACAUACAUACAUACAUACAUACGAAUACAUAGUGCCUGGGGUAAAAUUUCCCUUGGUAUCUGAUAGGAAUUUGUUUUUCAUUUUCUAGUUUCCUCUUAGCAUAAUCGUAAACAGAUGCAUGUGCUUACCAUUCACACAUACAUACAUACAUACAUACAUACAUACAUAGAUACACAUCUAAAUGCAAACAUACAUAUGCACGAUGGUUACAUAAACAUCAAUCAUGGAUCCUUUAAUUUGUAUUGUUGUCAAUUUCCAAUGACUUCCAGUGUGAUUUUCAGUGUUUCUUGUUUUCCAUUACAUAAACUGAUGCAU